rnacentral:piRNA from 1 species
GAAAGUGUAUCCUCUGACUGGAU